rnacentral:rRNA from 1 species
UACGUAGGCAGCGAGCGUUGUUCGGAAUUACUGGGCGUAAAGAGUGUGUAGGCGGUGCUCUAAGUUCGGUGUGAAAUCUCCCGCUUAACUGGGAGGGUGCGCCGGAAACUGGAGUGCUCGAGCGUGGGAGAGGAAAGCGGAAGUUCCUGGUGUAGCGGUGAAAUGCGUAGAUAUCAGGAGGAACACCAAUUGCGAAGGCAGCUCGCUGGGACGUUACUGACGCUGAGACGCGAAAGCGUGGGGAGCAAACAGG